rnacentral:rRNA from 3 species
CACACGACUCUCGGCAACGGAUAUCUCGGCUCUCGCAUCGAUGAAGAACGUAGCGAAAUGCGAUACCUGGUGUGAAUUGCAGAAUCCCGCGAACCAUCGAGUCUUUGAACGCAAGUUGCGCCCGAGGCCUUUGGGCCGAGGGCACGCCUGCCUGGGCGUCACGC